rnacentral:rRNA from 1 species
ACGGAGGUUUUUAACGGUACAUAUAUACACAUCUUCUAACGUAUGUAAGUCCUUUUACUUAGUUUUUAGGAUUUUAGAUUAACAGUCCGUACAUGCCCCACGAGCAUACUAUAUCGAGCGGCCGCACCAACAUGUUUACACGUAGCACCUAAGAUGUUAGUAGAUACUAAGGGUUUCCUUCAGUCGUUUCCUUUAAUGUUCAACGCCCCUGCUGUCUCUUGUCCCCUCCUACCUACCUCGUAGCCACUAAUGGAGGCCUGCUCUCUCCUUUUUAUCCACGACCACUAAGGGGAGAUAUGGCCGCUACCAUACGUCGAGGACAGCGUCCGCUGCAUCUAGCGUCGUGCGUGACGACGGCCACGACCACGAAGGGCAGCUCGGACUGCUGUCACACGUCUAGGAGCAGCGUCGUUGGAGCACGCACGUUGUGUAGGUAGGCACGACGACGACGGGGUAGCUCGAUCAGCGGUCACUCGUUGGGAAUGUGCGUCCGGCCCGUCGAGUACCGCAGCAGCGCGUCCGGCUACGCAGGGUCGGGGGCCACAAAGACGGACUGCCGACAGCUGGUACAUGUCCUUACUUCAGCGUUCCCUGCUCGAAGCACCCGGCGACGCCGGCGGCCAGGACGGUUCUCCUUGCCCGCAUCUCGCGCAGCGGCCCCUACCGCGCGGCACGUCCAGCGCAGCGACACCUGGAGGAACACGCCUCCCGCCGCGUCGCCUCCGCUC